rnacentral:rRNA from 1 species
AACGAACGCUGGCGGCAGGCCUAACACAUGCGAGUCGAGCGCCCUUUCGGGGGAGCGGCGGACGGGUGAGUAACGCGUGGGAAUAUGCCCUUCUCUACGGAAUAGCCUCGGGAAACUGAGAGUAAUACCGUAUACGCCCUUUGGGGGAAAGAUUUAUCGGGGAAGGAUUAGCCCGCGUUGGAUUAGGUAGUUGGUGGGGUAAUGGCCUACCAAGCCGACGAUCCAUAGCUGGUUUGAGAGGAUGAUCAGCCACACUGGGACUGAGACACGGCCCAGACUCCUACGGGAGGCAGCAGUGGGGAAUCUUAGACAAUGGGGGCAACCCUGAUCUAGCCAUGCCGCGUGAGUGAUGAAGGCCUUAGGGUUGUAAAGCUCUUUCAGCUGGGAAGAUAAUGACGGUACCAGCAGAAGAAGCCCCGGCUAACUCCGUG